rnacentral:rRNA from 1 species
CCUACGGGAGGCAGCAGUGGGGAAUAUUGGACAAUGGGCGCAAGCCUGAUCCAGCAAUGCCGCGUGUGUGAAGAAGGCCUUCGGGUUGUAAAGCACUUUUAUCAGGAGCGAAAUCUGCAGGGCUAAUACCCAUGCAGUCUGACGGUACCUGAGGAAUAAGCACCGGCUAACUCCGUGCCAGCAGCCGCGGUAAUACGGAGGGUGCAAGCGUUAAUCGGAAUUACUGGGCGUAAAGCGUGCGUAGGCGGUUCGUUAAGUCUGUUGUGAAAGCCCCGGGCUCAACCUGGGAAUGGCAAUGGAUACUGGCGAGCUAGAGUGUGUCAGAGGAUGGUGGAAUUCCCGGUGUAGCGGUGAAAUGCGUAGAGAUCGGGAGGAACAUCAGUGGCGAAGGCGGCCAUCUGGGGACAACACUGACGCUGAGGCGACGAACGACGGUAGGGGUAGGACGAACGAAGGAGUUAGUACGUACCCGUACGGUACGUACCGACCGUACCCGUAAACCGUAACGUAGACGAACGUAGGUAGUAGUUGGUUCGUCUACCGUACGGUAGAGUCAGUGUCGAAGACGUAACCGUACGUUAACGUUACCGGUCCCGGCCCGUCGGGGUACGGUACGGGUUACCGGUCCGAACGACGUACGAAACCGUACGUAAACGUAGUAAGUUAGUUACGGACGUUGGAGGACGUUGGCCGACGGGACGACCGACCGAGGGGAGGGUAGGGAG